AUUGAACGCUGGCGGUAUGCUUAACACAUGCAAGUCGAACGGUAGCAGGCCUUCGGGCGCUGACGAGUGGCGGACGGGUGAGUAACGCGUAGGAAUCUGCCUCAUAGUGGGGGACAACGUGGGGAAACUCACGCUAAUACCGCAUACGCUCUUUGUUCUAAGGAAUGGGGAGGAAAGCGGGGGACCUCCGGGCCUCGCGCUAUGAGAUGAGCCUGCGUUAGAUUAGCUAGUUGGUAGGGUAAAGGCCUACCAAGGCGACGAUCUAUAGCUGGUCUGAGAGGACGAUCAGCCGCACUGGGACUGAGACACGGCCCAGACUCCUACGGGAGGCAGCAGUGGGGAAUAUUGGACAAUGGGCGCAAGCCUGAUCCAGCAAUACCGCGUGUGUGAAGAAGGCCCUAGGGUUGUAAAGCACUUUCAAUAGGGAGGAAAACCUGCCGGUCAAUACCCGGUAGCUUGACAUUACCUAUACAAGAAGCACCGGCUAACUCCGUGCCAGCAGCCGCGUAAAAC
rnacentral:rRNA from 1 species